rnacentral:rRNA from 1 species
ACUCGAGUGGCGAACGGGUGAGUAACACGUGGGUGAUCUGCCCUGCACUUCGGGAUAAGCCUGGGAAACUGGGUCUAAUACCGGAUAGGAGCCAUUUUUAGUGUGAUGGUUGGAAAGUUUUUCGGUGUAGGAUGAGCUCGCGGCCUAUCAGCUUGUUGGUGGGGUAAUGGCCUACCAAGGCGGCGACGGGUAGCCGGCCUGAGAGGGUGGACUGCCACAUUGGGACUGAGAUACGGCCCAG